UACGUAGGGGGCUAGCGUUGUCCGGAUUUAUUGGGCGUAAAGAGCUCGUAGGCGGUUCGGUAAGUCGGAUGUGAAAACCCCAGGCUCAACCUGGGGACGCCAUUCGAUACUGCUGUGACUUGAGUUCGGUAGGGGAGCACGGAAUUCCUGGUGUAGCGGUGAAAUGCGCAGAUAUCAGGAGGAACACCGGUGGCGAAGGCGGUGCUCUGGGCCGAAACUGACGCUGAGGAGCGAAAGCGUGGGUAGCAAACAGG
rnacentral:rRNA from 1 species